rnacentral:ncRNA from 1 species
GAGCGCCGUGUGAAGCGAAAGUUUCAUGCACGGUGCGGCGUGGGGGAAAAUCCGGCGAUAGCGUCAAAGGAUUACCUAUCACGAU